rnacentral:rRNA from 1 species
UAACAGGAAAUUUAAGGGCGUACGGUGGAUGCCUAGACACAAAAUGGCGAUGAAGGACGUGGCGUUGCUGCGAUAUGCUUCGGGGAGGUGCUAAGCAACCUUUGAUCCGGAGAUUUCCGAAUGGGGAAACCCUAUCAAGUAAUCCUUGAUAAUUUUCUACGCAAGUAGAAAGAGCGCACCCUGGGAAGUGAAACAUCUCAGUACCAGGUGGAAAAGAGAAAAAUAUUUAUUUCCUUAGUAGCGGCGAGCGAAAAGGAAAAAGCCCAAACCAAAGUAGCAAUACUUCGGGGUUGUAAGACAGUAAUGUAGAUUACUAGAAGAGUCAAAAAAUAAGUUAUUAGUUGAAACUUUUGGAAAAGAGUACCAUAGAGGGUGAUAGUCCUGUAAACGAAAAUAACUUAUCUCUUUUAUUACUGUUCUUGAGUACUUCAGGACACGAGUGGCCGGGAGGAAUCUAGCGGAACUAACCGCUAAGGCUAAAUACGUUUUGUGAUCGAUAGUGAACUAGUACCGUGAGGGAAAGGUGAAAAGUAGUCCGAUUAGGACGAUGAAAUAGACCUGAAACCGUAUGUUUACAAGGAGUCGAUGCACAGUUUACUGUGCUACGGCGUGCCUAUUGAAGAAUGAGCCAACGAGUUUAUGCAUGUUGCUGGCUAAGUCCGCUAAAAGGACGCAGCCUCAGGGAAACCGAGUGUUAAUAGCGCGUAAUUGGUAAUAUGCAUAAGACCCGAAGCCAGGUGAGCUUGCCAUGAGCAGGGUGAAGUAGGUCGAAAGACUUAUGGAGGCCCGAACCCGUUCGUCGUACAACGCGUUGGGAUGACUUGUGGUAAGGAGUGAAAAGCUAAUCGAACCUGGUAAUAGCUGGUUCUCUCCGAAAUAGCUUUAGGGCUAGCGUCGUGUGUUCCUUUUGGGGGUAGAGCACUGGAAGGUUUCGACAGGGAGCAAUCUCGCGAAACUUAUCAAACUCCGAAUACCAAAAGCUAAAGCACGGCAGUUACACUAUGGGGGCUAAGCUCCAUUGGUGAAAAGGGAAACAGCCCAGAUCUCAAAAUAAGGUCCCUAAAUAUAUACUAAGUGUAAGACAAGAAGGUGGAAUUUCUCAAACAAUGAGGAGGUUGGCUUAGAAGCAGCCAUCCUUUAAAGAUAGCGUAACAGCUCACUCAUCUAGAGAUUUUGCAUCGAAAAUAAUUGGGACUAAGUAUAUUACCGAAUUUGAGGAUUUAAAGUUUUUUCGAAAAUUUUAAGUGGUAGGAGAGUGUUCCACUCUGCUGUGAAGGAGGACUCGUAAGAGCCUCUGGAGCGUGUGGAAGUAAGAAUGUUGGCACAAGUAACCGCAAUGGGGCUGAGAACGCCCCACGUCGAAAGAUCAAGGUUUCCUUGGUAAUGUCAAUCAGCCAAGGGUUAGUCGGGCCUAAGGGGAUGGUGAAAACCGGACUCGAUGGACACACGGUUAAUAUUCCGUGACUUUUGUGUAGAGUGAUGGGAGGACGGAACGUAGUAUGUUUCGCUCAUUAUUGGAUUUGAAGUUUGUGUCUUUAGGAAUCUAUGUAGGAAAAUCCGCAUAGUACCUUAAAUGGUGAUUUCCAAGAGAAGCAAAAAGUUUUAUCCUUCGGGGUAGGACAAUGAGACAAAGCACGUUUCCAAGAAAAUUCUCUAAACUUAUCUAUACAAAAUCCGUACCGCAAACCGACACAGGUGAUCAGGUCGAGUAGACCAAGACGAACGAGUGAGAGGUCUCCAAGGAACUCGGCAAAAAAUCAGCCGUAACUUCGGGAUAAGGCUUCCCCUUCUUUAUUGAAGGGGCGCAGCGAAAGUAUUCCUGGCAACUGUUUACCAAAAACACAGCUCCCUGCGAACACGUAAGUGGAUGUAUAGGGGGUGACGCCUGACCAAUGCCAGAAGGUCAAACAACGCCGUUGUGAGUAGCAAUAUUUAUGGUGAGUGUUGUAAGCCCUGGUGAAUGUCGGCCGUAACUAUAACGGUCCUAAGGUAGCGAAAUACCUUGUCGGGUAAGUUCCGACGCGCACGAAUGGCGUAAUGACUGGGAAACUGUCUCGGAGACCAGCUCGGUGAAAAUACAAUACCGGUGAAGAUGCCGGUUAAGUGCAGUUAGACGAAAAGACCCUAGAAGCUUUACUAUAACUUGAUAUUGGGUAUGUUAUUUUUCUGCGUAGAAUAUAAGGGAGACUUUGAAGUAAUUUUUUCGGGAAUUAUGGAGUCGACAGUGCAAUACCUUACUUAAAAGUGGCAUAUUCUAACCUUUCGGGUAAAAACCGAUUGAGACAGUAUCUGGUGGAUAGUUUUACUGGGGCUGUACCCUCCUAAAAAGUAAAGGAGGGGUUUAAAGGUAAUCUAGGCGCGAAUGGAAACCGUGCCGAUAGUGUAAUGGCACAAGAUUGCUUGACUGUAAGGGGUACAUCCCGAGCAGGUGGGAAACCAGAACAUAGUGAUCCGACCAUACGUAUUAGAUGCGGUGGAAGCUCAACGGAUAAAAGCUACUCUAGGGAUAACAGGCUAGUUCCGCCUAAGAGUUCAUAUCGACGGCGGAGUUCGGCACCUCGAUGUCGGCUCACCUUAGCGCGGUGGUGGAGAAGCUACCAAGCGUUUGGCUGUUCGCCAAUUAAAAAGGUACGCGAGCUGGGUUCAGACCGUUUAGGUCACAAACAUGUUGUGAUUUAAAUAGUCUGAAUCUAUAGAGGAAAAUAAUUCAUUUGUGAAUUAGAACUGUUAUGAGAAAACAACUAUACUAUUAAAUUAGUAUCACGGCGGCGUAAAGUAGAAAUACUUUACGAAAAGCUAACUUAUAUCGGAGAAACCCGAACACGAAAGUGAGGGUAACGCCGAGGGAAUGUUUCGACAAGCUCAACAUAAAUCCUGAGCGAAGUCGAAGGAGCCCGUAGAGACUGAAUGUUAGACGGCUUGAAAGAGUCGAAGUCACAGUCCAAUCCCACAAGUAAUUGUGGAAAAUUUUUCAAACAAGGAUUUGAAAAAUUGUAGAUGCGUGAGACAGGUUGGUCUCCUAUCUACUGCACUCGUUGAUUCUUGAGAAGAUUUGCUCCUAGUACGAGAGGACCGGAGUGAACUGACCUCUGGUGUACGAGCUCUACUGCCAAGUGGACUGCUCGGUAGCUAUGUCGGGAAUGGAUAACCUCUGAAAGCAUCUAAGAGGGAAGCCAGCUUCAAGAUUAGGAAUCGUUAAGAACCCUGAGAGAUGAUCAGGUUGAUAGGCUUUAAGUGGAAGGCAAGCAAUUGCUUAAGCUGAGAAGUACUAAUGUUUCGAUUCCUGUUAAG